rnacentral:rRNA from 1 species
UACGUAGGGGGCAAGCGUUGUCCGGAUUUAUUGGGCGUAAAGAGCUCGUAGGCGGCUUGGUAAGUCGGGUGUGAAACCUCCAGGCUCAACCUGGAGACGCCACCUGAUACUGCUGUGGCUAGAGUCCGGUAGGGGAGCGUGGAAUUCCUGGUGUAGCGGUGAAAUGCGCAGAUAUCAGGAGGAACACCAGCGGCGAAGGCGGCGCUCUGGGCCGGAACUGACGCUGAGGAGCGAAAGCGUGGGUAGCAAACAGG